UACGUAGGGGGCAAGCGUUGUCCGGAAUUAUUGGGCGUAAAGAGCGUGUAGGCGGUCCGGUAAGUCGGCUGUGAAAGUCCAGGGCUCAACCCCUGGGAUGCCGGUCGAUACUGCCGGACUAGAGUUCGGAAGAGGCGAGUGGAAUUCCCGGUGUAGCGGUGAAAUGCGCAGAUAUCGGAGGAAGACCAUACUGGCGAAGGCAGCUCGCUGGGACGUUACUGACGCUGGAGACGCGAAAGCGUGGGGGAGCAAACAGGAUUAGA
rnacentral:rRNA from 1 species